UAAUGUGAAAACUUUAACAAAUCUGUUUGAUAUAAAGUCUGCUUUGUAUAGUUAGCCUAAUUUAUUACCUUAGGGCGACCAAAUACGUUUUCCUUGAAAUUAUUAAAUAUGCUAUUUAUAUAUAUGUGUCUAUAUUUAUGUCGGCCGGCAAAUCUUGUGUGUAUUUUGGCACAGGGUGCACAAAUGCUCCUUAUCAGUGCGGUGACACUUGAACAAAUGAACUGAUCAUGCGCGACACUGACCAAUAAACAAACGAGUUGUUUUAUUGCGUCUAUGACUUGAAUCUUAUCAUCAGUUGUAGUGAUGGGAAGUUCGGAUCAUUUUACCGAAUCGGACUUUUGAGUCUCGUUCAGCAAAAUGAACGAAUCUUUUUUCGAGUCAUUUCAAAUGAACGAACAACCAGAAGGUUCAGGAAGAAAAAAACAAAAUGCUUGCAGUCUGUUUCACAUUAGGAGGCAUUUUGCUGCAUAAUCGAUCCACCACAAACCAUAUGCAACUAUGGAAGCUCAACUUCCAUUAAAUGGACUGAAAACGCUCAAGUAACGUUAUAGGUCUCAAAACGCUUGCUCUGCGCCAGUGGAUACACACCAUAGACAGUAAAAGAAAUAUGUGCAUGUCACAGACUGUCUGGGCAUGCACUUCCGCGUUUCAGAGAUCCGCCUUUUACUUUCCGUCAACAUUACAUUAAUUAACGUUUAGAAAAUUUAUUUUUGACAUUUGUGAAUCAGUUCAGAAUCGUCUGCCUAUGCAUUGCGAUACAUUUAAGAAUCACAUUUUUAUCCCACCCCUACUAAAUAUAGAGACACUUUGACAAGUGGGCACUGGAUGCUGAGUAUUGAAGGCGAGGUGGUGUGUGAGGGCACUCAGCCCAGUUUCCUGUCCGGCCUUGCCACUCUGUUUGCUGCUUAUUACUAGUUUAAUCUUGAGUAUCAGGAGGAAGCAGUGUGUACCUUGGAGUUCAUUCAAAGGUGCUUUGUGGGCAUAAAUCCAGAGAGAGGACCCAAAGCCAAGGGAAAAGUGCCAUCGAAAUAAAAACAGGACAAGUGAUACAGAAGAAAAUGUGUGGCAGUCAACCCACAUGUUGCCACUCUUCUGUGCAAAUUCCAAUGGAAUUUCUGAAAUUCACACUUUGAAUCCUGGGAUGGAACUUCAUCUGGAGCAUAAUUGUUAUUUGGUUGAUUUUUAUCUGUUUGAUGGAAAGUUUGUAUGACUUCUGCAAGUGCGCGGCUCCUUCCGGUCAGUCAUGCAUCACUUUUUUUUGUAUGACUUGUUUGGCAAUAUUGGUCUAUUCCUUAAUGAUGAUAGCUAUCUGAAAAUGUCUUUGUGGUUUUUAAAGGAUUAGUUCACCCAAAAAUGAAAAUUAAGUCAAUAAUUACU